rnacentral:rRNA from 1 species
GUGUCAGCCGCCGCGGUAAUACGUAGGGGCCAAGCGUUGUCCGGAGUUACUGGGCGUAAAGGGUGCGUAGGCGGGCUAUUAAGUCUGGGGUGAAAUCUUGCCGCUUAACGGUAAAAUGGCCUUGGAUACUGGUAGUCUUGAGUGUAGAAGAGGCAGGUGGAAUUCGUAGUGUAGCGGUGAAAUGCAUAGAUAUUACGAAGAACAUCAGUGGCGAAGGCGGCCUGCUGGUCUACAACUGACGCUGAGGCACGAAAGCGUGGGGAGCGAACAGGAUUAGAUACCCUGGUAGUCCACGCUGUAAACGAUGGAUACUAGGUGUUGGCCUUUUGGGGUCAGUGCUGCAGUUAACGCAUUAAGUAUGCCACCUGGGGAGUACGUCGGCAACGAUGAAACUUAAAUGAAUUGGCGGGG